rnacentral:miRNA from 7 species
GCAGCGCUGUGAGGACGGGCGGGUGGGCGCGGU